CAUUCGCUAAAACCCCAUAUGCCCCUGGGUGAAACAGAAGAGAUAAGUAAUACUGAAUCCCUUCUGCCUGAAGAGAAGCUCGCGGCUGAUUAGCUAGUUGGUAGGGUAAAGGCCUACCAAGGCGACGAUCAGUAGCUGGUCUGAGAGGACGAUCAGCCACACUGGAACUGAGACACGGUCCAGACUCCUACGGGAGGCAGCAGUGAGGAAUUUUCUGCAAUGGGCGCAAGCCUGACAGAGCAAUACCGCGUGAGGGAUGAAGACUUACUGAGUUGUAAACCUCGGUGCCUUAAGGAAGAAGAUCUGACGGUACUUAAGGUGGAAAGCAUCGGCUAACUCCGUGCCAGCAGCCGCGGUAAGACGGGGGAUGCAAGUGUUAUCCGGAUUUACUGGGCGUAAAGCGUCUGCAGGUGGUUUUUUAAGUCUACUGUUAAAUCUUGAGGCUCAACCUCAAAUCUGCAGUAGAAACUAGAAGACUUGAGUAUAGUAGGGGUAGAGGGAAUUUCCAGUGGAGCGGUGAAAUGCGUAGAUAUUGGAAAGAACACCGAUGGCGAAGGCACUCUACUGGGCUAUUACUGACAUUCAGAGACGAAAGCUAGGGGAGCAAAUGGGAUUAGAUACCCCAGUAGUC
rnacentral:rRNA from 1 species